rnacentral:ncRNA from 1 species
CAAGGUCUUGGUCUUAAACCUUCUAUUACCUUCACCCCCUGAUUAUACAUGCAAGCCUCAUCACAACGGUGAAAUAGCCCGCCACACCCGGCCCUGGAGCAGGCAUCAGGCAUCACGCCCACAACGCCAAGCAAACUUAAGCCACACCCCCACGGGUCAACAGCAGUAGUUAAUAUUAGGCCAUAAGCGAAAGCUUGACCUAGCAAGGGGGUUUUAGGGCCGGUCAAUCUCGUGCCAGCGACCGCGGUUACACGACAGACCCAAGAUAAUAUUAAACGGCGUAAAGCACGACUAAGUGACAGUACCACUAUUAAGAGUGAAGACCCCCAGGCCGUAAAAAGCCAUAAGCCACACUAAUCACACCCCUUAAUAAUAAGACUAUUCUAACUCGUGAAAGCCGGGACACAAACUAAGAUUAGAUACCUUACUAUGCCCAGCCUUAACACAACAAUCAAAUAACCAAUUGUUCGCCAAAUAACUACGAGUGCAAACUUAAAAUUUAAAAGACUUGACGGUACUUCACAACAACCUAGAGGAGCCUGUCUAAUAACCGAUACCCCACGAUUAACCCGACCCACCCUAGCCCUUCAGUCUAUAUACCGCCGUCGCCAGCUCACCUUGUGAAAGAAAUAAAGUGAACUAAAUAGACCAGCCCCUAACACGACAGGUCGAGGUGUAACAAAUGGGUGGGUAAAAGAUGGGCUACAUUUUCUAAAACAGAAAAUACGGACAAACUAUGAAAAUAGAAACUGAAGGCGGAUUUAGUAGUAUGUUAAGGACACAAUACUUAACCGAAACCAAUGCAAUGAAGUGCGUACACACCGCCCGUCAUCCCUGCCACAAAUAACAAAAAAAAUCAAUAAAACCCCUCACUCACCAAAAGCAGGGCAAGUCGUAACAUGGUAAGCGUACUGGAAAGUGCGCUUAGAAA